AGCCGCCGUGGUCGAGUGGUAUCGCUCGAGAUUUUGAUUCGUCAGAUCGUGGGUUCGAGGCCCACCGCGGUCU